rnacentral:rRNA from 1 species
AUUGAACGCUGGCGGCAGGCUUAACACAUGCAAGUCGAGCGAGCGGCGCACGGGUGAGUAAUGUCUGGGAAACUGCCUGAUGGGGGGGGAUAACCACUGGAAACGGUAGCUAAUCCCGCAUACCAGCAGAUGUCCCCAGAUGGGAUGAGCUAGUAGGUGGGGUAAUGGCACACCUAGGCGACGAUCCCUAGCUGGUCUGAGAGGAUGACCAGCCACCCUGGGACUGAGGCACGGCCCAGACUCUUACGGGAGGCAGCAGUGGGGAAUAUUGCACAAUGGGCGCAAGCCUGAUGCAGCCAUGCCGCGUGUGUGAAGAAGGCCUUCGGGUUGUAAAGCACUUUCAGCGAGGAGGCGUUACUCGCAGAAGAAGCACCGGCUAACUCCGUGCCAGCAGCCGCGGUAAUUC